UUCGCAAUGCCCGAAAGGGUGACGAAGCGACGCCGCGUGCGGGAAGAAGGCCUUCGGGUUGUAAACCGCUGUCGGGAGUUAAGAAAUGCAAGGAUAUUAAUAGUGUCUUUGCUUGACUAAGGCUCCGGAGGAAGCCACGGCUAACUCUGUGCCAGCAGCCGCGGUAAUACAGAGGCGGCAAGCGUUGUUCGGAAUUAUUGGGCGUAAAGAGCACGUAGGCGGCUGUGUAAGUCGGUUGUGAAAGCCUUCCGCUCAACGGAAGAACGGCAUCCGAUACUGCAUGGCUUGAGUGCGGGAGGGGAGAGUGGAACUUCUGGUGGAGCGGUGAAAUGCGUAGAUAUCAGAAGGAACACCGGCGGCGAAGGCGACUCUCUGGCCCGUAACUGACGCUGAGUGUGCGAAAGCUAGGGGAGCAAACGGGAUUAGAUACCCCGGUAGUCCUAGCCGUAAACGAUGGGCACUAAGUAGAGGGGUUUU
rnacentral:rRNA from 1 species